AAGAUGUUUUAUUUUAGCAUAAAAAUUUGUUUAUAAUUUAUUUUACAUGUGAAUUUUUGUGGGGGUUAUAAAUUAUUUAAAUAAUAGUUUAUUUUAAUUUUAUUCGCAGUGAUUAAUAUUAAUUAUUAAAGAAAUUUAGAAUUAGUAAUAUUAUUUAGUAUUAGCAAAAUUUGUGCCAGCUGCUGCGGUUAGACAAAAAAUAUAAAUGAAUUAGGUUAGAUUAUAAUUAAAUUGUUUAGUUGGAUAUAAUAAAGAUGAAUUUAUUGGGUGAAAUUUUAAUUUUUAUAAAUUAUAUAAAUGAGUUAUUGAUAUUAUGAAAUUUUAAUAAUAAACUAGGAUUAGAUACCCUAUUAUUUAAAAUGUAAAUUAAUAAUCUAGAAUAGUAUUAGUUAUGUUCUUGAAAUUUAAAAAUUUUGGCGGUAUUUUAGUCUAUUCAGAGGAACCUGUUUUAUAAUUGAUAAUCCACGUUGGACCUUACUUAAUUUUAUAUAGUAUGUAUACCGCCGUCGUCAGAAUGUCUUAAAAAAGGAAUAAUUUUCUAAAAUUUUUAAUAUAAAUUAUGUCAGGUCAAGGUGCAGCUUAUAAUUAAGGAAAAAUGGGUUACAAUAAAAUUAUUUAUGAAUAAAGAGUUGAAAUAUUUUUUUGAAAUUGGAUUUGAUAGUAAAAUAAUAAAGAAAAAUUAUUUGAUUUUAGCUCUAAAAUAUGUACAUAUCGCCCGUCGCUCUCGUUAUUAAGAUGAGAUAAGUCGUAACAUAGUAGAUGUACCGGAAGGUGUAUCUAGAAUGAC
rnacentral:ncRNA from 1 species